AUUUCGGAUUACUUUCGGAUUAUCAACCAAUCGACCACAACUGUCUGUCGAUUUUUAUUUUACAUAUGUUAAACUUCAAAACGAUUGGUGUCAAUGUUUAGACCCCUAGCAAGGAAGUCACUUAAACUACGUUUAACUAAGGAUCUCGCAAACCAUCCCGGCUCUCGAACUGGCAAUUCGGCUAAUGGUCUAGAGCUUAAAGUA